rnacentral:rRNA from 1 species
GAUGAACGCUAGCUACAGGCUUAACACAUGCAAGUCGAGGGGCAGCGGGGAUCUAGCUUGCUAGAUUUGCCGGCGACCGGCGCACGGGUGAGUAACACGUAUCCAACCUGGCCCAUACUCGGGUAUAGCCUCUCGAAAGGGAGAUUAAUCCCCGAUGUUGUUGGAUUGCCGCAUGGUUUUUCAACCAAAGAAUUUCGGUAUGGGAUGGGGAUGCGUUCCAUUAGCUUGUUGGCGGGGUAACGGCCCACCAAGGCGACGAUGGAUAGGGGUUCUGAGAGGAAGGUCCCCCACACUGGAACUGAGACACGGUCCAGACUCCUACGGGAGGCAGCAGUGAGGAAUAUUGGUCAAUGGACGGAAGUCUGAACCAGCCAAGUCGCGUGAAGGAUGAAGGUUCUAUGGAUUGUAAACUUCUUUUGUCUGAGGGUAAAAAAGGCCACGUGUGGCUUCUUGCAAGUAUCAGACGAAUAAGCAUCGGCUAACUCCGUG